GAUGAACGCUAGCUACAGGCUUAACACAUGCAAGUCGAGGGGCAGCAUGAAGUUUGCUUGCAAACUUUGAUGGCGACCGGCGCACGGGUGAGUAACGCGUAUCCAACCUUCCCCCUAGUAGGGGAUAGCCCGGCGAAAGUCGGAUUAACACCCUAUGUUGUUUGAUGCGGACAUCUAAAUCAAACCAAAGAUUCAUCGCCAGGGGAAUGGGGAUGCGUCCGAUUAGGUAGUAGGCGGGGCAACGGCCCACCUAGCCUGCGAUCGGUAGGGGUUCUGAGAGGAAGGUCCCCCACAUUGGAACUGAGACACGGUCCAAACUCCUACGGGAGGCAGCAGUGAGGAAUAUUGGUCAAUGGGCGAGAGCCUGAACCAGCCAAGUAGCGUGCAGGAUGACGGCCCUAUGGGUUGUAAACUGCUUUUAUCAGGGGAUAAAGUGAGGGACGUGUCCCUUUUUGUAGGUACCUGAUGAAUAAGGACCGGCUAAUUCCGUGCCAGCAGCCGCGGUAAUACGGAAGGUCCGGGCGUUAUCCGGAUUUAUUGGGUUUAAAGGGAGCGCAGGCGGGCUUUUAAGCGUGACGUGAAAUGUAGUUGCUCAACAUCUGCACUGCGUCGCGAACUGGAGGCCUUGUGCGCAUUCGACGCUGGCGGAAUUCGUGGUGUAGCGGUGAAAUGCUUAGAUAUCACGAAGAACCCCGAUUGCGAAGGCAGCCGGCGAGACUGUAACUGACGCUAAAGCUCGAAAGUGCGGGUAUCGAACA
rnacentral:rRNA from 1 species